UGUAGGACUCUAAAGAGUCCACUGACCUGAGCGCUUUGUUUGAAGCAGAGAAUUCGGAAUUGAAUGGCAUAUUACAUCUUGUGAAGAAGAUUCUUCAUCAAGACUUUGAUAGAUCAG